GAUGAACGCUGGCGGCGUGCUUAACACAUGCAAGUCGAACGGUGAAGCAGAGCUUGCUCUGUGGAUCAGUGGCGAACGGGUGAGUAACACGUGAGCAACCUGCCCCUGACUCUGGGAUAAGCGCUGGAAACGGCGUCUAAUACUGGAUAUGAGCUGCGACCGCAUGGUCAGCAGUUGGAAAGAUUUUUCGGUCUGGGAUAGGCUCACGGCCUAUCAGCUUGUUGGUGAGGUAAUGGCUCACCAAGGCGUCGACGGGUAGCCGGCCUGAGAGGGUGACCGGCCACACUGGGACUGAGACACGGCCCAGACUCCUACGGGAGGCAGCAGUGGGGAAUAUUGCACAAUGGGCGAAAGCCUGAUGCAGCAACGCCGCGUGAGGGAUGACGGCCUUCGGGUUGUAAACCUCUUUUAGCAGGGAAGAAGCGAAAGUGACGGUACCUGUAGAAAAAGCGCCGGCUAACUACGUG
rnacentral:rRNA from 1 species